rnacentral:lncRNA from 1 species
AUGAUCUAUUCUCUAGUGUAGAACUUCCCUCCUGAAGCAGGCCUAAUAAUACAAUGUCAGCUGGAAGGGUACGAACAAAGAAAAAGGCAUGUUCUUCAGAGCAGUCUCCAGACAGCCUUCCUCUGAGGAGUUCUGGAAGACAGGUGAAGAAGAAAGCAGCCGAGGCAACAGAUGAUGAUGAUGAUGCAUCAGAAAAGAAAUACAGGAAAUGUGAGAAAGCUGGAUGCACUGCAACGUGUCCCGUUUGCUUUGCCAGCGCAGCCGAAAGAUGUGCUAAAAAUGGGUAUACGUCUAGAUGGUAUCAUCUUUCCUGUGGGGAGCACUUCUGCAAUGAAUGUUUUGACCACUAC